AUGCAAGUCUUGCACCCGGCGCUGCAGGGCCAUGCAAGUCUUGCACCCGGCGCUGUGGGACCGUGCAAGUCUUGCACACAGCACUGCAAGGCCAUGCAAGUCUUGCACCCGGYGCUGCGGGGCCAUGCAAGUCUUGCACCCAGCGCUGCAAGGCCAUGUGCCACGUGCACGCAGCGCUGCAGGGCCAUGCAACACUGGCACCCAGCACUGCAGGGCCAUGCAAGUCUUGCACCCGGCGCUGCAGGGCCACACGAGACUGGCACCCUGCGCUGCAGGGACUUGCAAGACUGGCAGCCGGCACUGCAGGGCGGUGCAAGUCUUCCACCCGGCAAUGCAGGGCCACAYGAGACUGGCACCCAGCUCUGCAGCACCGUGCAAGACUUGCACCGGUCUCUGCAGUGCCAUGCAAGACCGGCACCCAGCUCUGCAGGGCUGUGCAAGACUUGCACCCAUCUCUGCAGCACCAUGCACGACUGGCACCCGGCUCUGCAGUGCUGUGCAAGACCAGCACCCAUCUCCGCAGGGCCGUGCAAGCCCUACACCCGGCUCUGCAGGGCUGUGCAAGACCGGCACCCAGCUCUGCAUCACCAUGCAAGCCCUACACCCGGCACCGCAGCACCGCGCAAGCCCUACACCCGGCGCUGUGCGACCACGCGGGACCCAGGCCCGGAGCCAAGCCGGAGCCUGCGGACGGCGGCUCAGAGCUGCCUGGGGCCGGGAGGCGCACGGGCCUCAUCCUGCCUCCCUCCUUUAGCAAAAGACCCAGCUCAGCCAGCUGGUGCCCAGCCGGGCCCGCAGCGCCCCGCGGCCGAGACGCCCUCGAGAAAACCCCCGCGCACAGUUAAACGGGGCCUUCAACCCCUCUUAGCACCAGCGCGACGGCGGGACGGGGGGGCCCUGCAGCUGCCCCCCCCCGCCGCCGCCUCCUCAGGUCCUAGCACCGCUCCGAGCACCCUGCGCGGCCCCGGGGGCCGCCGGCGCGGCUCGCUGCGAAUUAGCCAGCACCCCGCAGCGAGCGGCCGGCGGCGCGGCCGGCCUCGGCGCCCGCCCCACGGGCGCCCCACGGGCACCCCGGCACCAUUCACAGUUAGAGGAAGAGACGGCGACGGGGGCCGGAGACCCUCCGAGCCUCCCCCGCGCCUUAGCACCAGUCCCCGCGGCUUCUCCCGCGCCGGUGCCCGAUGCGGCCGCCCCGGCGCGGCGAUGCCCCGUGUCCCUGCUCCGCGGCGGAGGAGCCCGCGCCGACCCAGCGGUGCCCCGCGGCAUCUGCCAACGCCGGGGAGCUGCUUUGCAAAGCGGUGCAACGCCGCAGGGUGCUGA
rnacentral:lncRNA from 1 species